rnacentral:rRNA from 1 species
UACAGAGGCCUCGAGCGUUAGGCGGAAUCACUGGGCUUAAAGCGUGUGUAGGUGGAUGCCUAAGUACCUUGUGAAAUCCCACAGCUUAACUGUGGAACUGCUUGGUAUACUGGGUGUCUUGAGCCACUCAGGGGCUACUGGAACAAACGGUGGAGCGGUGAAAUGCGUAGAUAUCGUUUGGAACGCCAAUGGUGAAAACAGGUAGCUGGGGGUGUGCUGACACUGAGACACGAAAGCUAGGGGAGCGAAUGGG